rnacentral:pre_miRNA from 1 species
AAAGUACUCCCUCCAUCCCAAAAUUCUUGUCUUAGAUUUGUCUAGAUACGGAUGUAUCAAGUCACAUUUUAGUAUUAGAUACAUCCGUAUCUAGACAAAUCUAAGACAAGAAAUUUGGGACCGAGGGAGUAGUUC